rnacentral:rRNA from 1 species
AGAGUUUGAUCCUGGCUCAGGAUGAACGCUGGCGGCGUGCCUAACACAUGCAAGUCGAGCGAUUCUCUUCGGAGAAGAGCGGCGGACGGGUGAGUAACGCGUGGGUAACCUGCCCUGUACACACGGAUAACAUACCGAAAGGUAUGCUAAUACGAGAUAAUAUACUUUUAUCGCAUGGUAGAAGUAUCAAAGCUCCCGGCGGUACAGGAUGGACCCGCGUCUGAUUAGCUAGUUGGUAAGGUAACGGCUUACCAAGGCGACGAUCAGUAGCCGACCUGAGAGGGUGAUCGGCCACAUUGGAACUGAGACACGGUCCAAACUCCUACGGGAGGCAGCAGUGGGGAAUAUUGCACAAUGGGCGAAAGCCUGAUGCAGCAACGCCGCGUGAGCGAUUAAGGCCUUCGGGUCGUAAAGCUCUGUCCUCAAGGAAGAUAAUGACGGUACUUGAGGAGGAAGCCCCGGCUAACUACGUGCCAGCAGCCGCGGUAAUACGUAGGGGGCUAGCGUUAUCCGGAAUUACUGGGCGUAAGGGUGCGUAGGUGGUUUCUUAAGUCAGAGGUGAAAGGCUACGGCUCAACCGUAGUAAGCCUUUGAAACUGGGAAACUUGAGUGCAGGAGAGGAGAGUGGAAUUCCUAGUGUAGCGGUGAAAUGCGUAGAUAUUAGGAGGAACACCAGUUGCGAAGGCGGCUCUCUGGACUGUAACUGACACUGAGGCACGAAAGCGUGGGGAGCAAACAGGAUUAGAUACCCUGGUAGUCCACGCCGUAAACGAUGAGUACUAGCUGUCGGAGGUUACCCCCUUCGGUGGCGCAGCUAACGCAUUAAGUACUCCGCCUGGGAAGUACGCUCGCAAGAGUGAAACUCAAAGGAAUUGACGG